rnacentral:lncRNA from 1 species
AUGCUCUUGUGAACAUCAUGUUUUCCUCUUUCAGGGGUUCCCUGGAAAAGAGGGGCCGAGAGGGCCUCAUGGUCUCCCAGGAUGCAAUGGAACAAAGGGUGAGCCUGGUCCCCCAGGCUUAAUAGGGCCCAUGGGAGCUCCUGGAUGGCAGGGAAUGCCAGGAAUCCAAGGACCUAAGGGAGAUAGCUAUUACUUGCAACCCUCUGGACAAGUGAAAGGACUUCGUGGUUUUCCAGGCAGAGAUGGAGAUAAAGUAAGAGAAUUAGUUAUGAGAAUAAAGUAAAAAAUGCGGAUUGAACAUUUGGACAAGC